rnacentral:lncRNA from 1 species
AGUCUCUCAUAGAAACUUCUGGCCUCUGGACACUGUGGGAGCAACUUUUCCUUUAUUAGACUGUCUCCUCUUUAACUGUACCUAGAAGAUACUUUAGCACAGCAAGCAUCUCUUUUAUGCUUACAUUAUGCAGUUAUGCAGACUUGGUGUACGUCCUUCAAGGACAGUCUAAGAAUCUUUGAUUCUAUUUCUGCUGGAUACAUUGUUGCAGAGAUGUAAGAAGGAAGGACUUAGAAAAGUAUGCUAUAAGAAUUGAAUGCUCAGAGGCAAGCUAACUUCACAAGGAGAAAAGAAAGAUGGAAACAGCCUAGACAAACUCAAAUCAAGUCCAGGAGACUUACGCUAGAGUUGCUUUUUCUAAUAGAAGAGACCAGUGUGCAAUUGUGAAUUGUGAUGCUGAGGCAAGCCCCAAGGAUGAAGAGAAUUAAAUAGAGGAGGAAGAGAAGAGGAAUAUUGCAGCAUGACUGGGAAGCCUGUCCUUCAUUACUUCAAUUGAAGAAGAAGAAUGGAGUCCAUCCGGUGGCUCCUGGCAGCAGCUGGAGUAGAGUUUGAGGAAGAACUUUUUGAAACCCAUGAAGAGUUUGAGAAGUUAAUCCAAGUAUUCCAAGAGGGCAGUGGAAGUCACUUGGACAGAAACUACCAGGAUCCUAGUUCUAUGUGGAACCCUGAUGUACGAGCAAGUGCCCAUGGUGGAAAUCGAUGGAAUGACUUUGGUGCAGACCAGUGCCAUCUUAAGAUAUGUAGCUGCAAAAUAUGACUUGUAUGGAAGGAACCUGGAGGAACAAGCCUGAAGAGAAGGAGAUGAACCUUGAAUACAUCCUCCACCGAGCUACAACAAGAUUCUUCCCCGUUUAUGAGAAGGCCCUGAGAGACCACGGGCAAGACUUUCUUGUGGGCAAUCGGCUGAGCUUGGCUGAUGUCCAGCUCCUUGAAGUCAUCUUAAUGGCUGAAGAAUGCAAAGCCAGUGUUCUCUCGGGUUUCCCUCUGCUACAGGACUUCAAGGUGAGAACCAGCCAAAUUCCUACAAUUAACAGCUUCCUCCAACCUGGAAGCCAGAGGAAGCCUCCUUUGGAGGAGCGAUCCAUUGGGACUGCAAAGGACAUAUUCAAAUUUGAAUGAGGACUGUUUCUUAAAAACAUGAGCAAUAUAGUAGCUGAGUAUUAACAGCUACAGAGGCUGGAGUUACUCAGUAAGUAUACUGAGUAACUUGACACUGCAUUCAUAAAAAGACACUCACUAAGUAUAUGGCCAGAGAAAUAUCCUGAAGUUAGUAAUAAAUGUUAGGAAUCUUAGUAUGUUAGCAAUGUUAGAAUGUUAGUAAUGGAAAUAUUAAAUGUGUAAGAGAAAAACUACUAGAAGCUUAUCAAUAAACUACAAGAACCAACUCUUGUUUGAAGUAAGACAGGCUACCAAGACAGAAUUCAGAAAAUCCAAGGAGCCCUCGGCCUUCUGUAUGAUCCUAGAAUAAACUUGUAUGUAGCAAGUGAAA